CGCCGCCGCCGCCGCCGGCUGGCGGGGCUCGAGGCAGAGGGCUGCGGGGCCCGGCGUGGUGGGGCUCGGCGCGCCCAAGGGUCUAGGUGGCAGUAAUGCUGACGCUGGCGAGCAAGCUGAAGCGGGAUGAUGGUCUCAAAGGGUCCCGGACAUCCACCUCAGCCUCCGACUCCACAAGGAGGGUGUCCGUGCGGGACCGGCUGCUUGUGAAAGAGGUUGCAGAACUUGAAGCUAAUUUACCUUGUACUUGUAAAGUACAUUUUCCUGAUCCAAACAAGCUCCACUGCUUUCAGUUAACGGUAACCCCAGAUGAGGGUUACUACCAGGGUGGAAAGUUUCAGUUUGAAACUGAAGUUCCCGACGCCUACAAUAUGGUGCCUCCUAAAGUGAAGUGCUUGACCAAGAUCUGGCACCCCAACAUCACAGAGACAGGCGAGAUCUGUCUAAGUUUGCUGAGAGAACAUUCAAUUGACGGCACUGGCUGGGCCCCCACAAGGACCUUGAAGGAUGUGGUUUGGGGUCUGAACUCACUGUUCACGAGCUUCAGUGCCUGCAGAGUUGCUUCUGCACUGGCACCGGGGAGUGAAGACUCGCCUCAGCACAGACCUGGGGCGCCUUUCCGCUUCACCCACACUGUUUCUCUCAGGAUCUUCUGAACUUCGACGACCCACUGAAUAUUGAAGCUGCAGAACAUCAUUUGCGGGACAAGGAUGACUUCCGGAGUAAAGUGGAGGAUUACAUUAAACGUUAUGCCAGAUGAUGAGCCUGCAGCCCGUGGACUUUGCACCCCAAGUGUGUCCACCUCGAGCCGGGGAGCCCCCCUGUCCUCACGCCCCCUCAGUCCCACCAGGUCAUCCGAAUCCUGUGACCAUGUUGUCCAAGGAAGCGUCUCUGGUGACCGCCUGAUAGGUGGUGUGUCCACGUAGACACAGCGGAGUAUGUGGUGCUCAGGGCAGUCACUCCCGACUCUGCCACAGUAGCCAUGGAUGGGCCUGGAGAAGGACGAACAAAGACGAGGCUCGAGCUUGCUUCUCCCCCUGCCCCGCACAACCCCGCUCCCGCACGAGCGAUGCUCAGGCUGGGCCCAGCCCCACAGGCACACUGGGGUACCCCAACCACCCCCCUGCUGGGAUGGGCCCGUGAGUUCUCGGCCCCUGCACUGGGGCCCGCCACCACCCAGAGCAGCCCCCGCUGUAGCCCCUGUACUGAGAUGCGCAUUGUAUGGAAUGUAAGUAUAUUUUGGAACAGA